UACGAAGGGGGCGAGCGUUGUUCGGAUUUACUGGGCGUAAAGGGCGCGCAGGCGGUCAUUUUUGUCGAGUGUGAAAGCCCCGGGCUUAACCUGGGAACUGCGCUCGAAACGGGAUGACUAGAGAUCGGGAGAGGAGAGUGGAAUUCCCAGUGUAGAGGUGAAAUUCGUAGAUAUCUGGAGGAACACCGGUGGCGAAGGCGGCAUCCUGGACCGGUAUUGACGCUGAGGAGCGAAAGCCAGGGGAGCAAACGGG
rnacentral:rRNA from 1 species